GAGAAGUCAAAGAUGGCUGUGUUCCAGUUUCUGUCUUUUCCUCUAGGUGACUCAGACAGCCUGCACUGGAUGUCCAACUUGUCGAGACAGAACUAGAAUUUAACAAGACCGAACACUGAGAGUCAUCACUUCAGCAAUGACUGCAGACUGAAACAGUUGGGAGCUGUACUGAGGUAAAGAUAGAAGAUGAGGAAGAGGAGGAAAAGCAAGCAGGGGCAGACUAUCUGUGAGGGACAUAUGAGGGAGAGUUCCCAAAGCAGCAGCGGUGAGGAGGAGAGACUGAACCACUGGGACCAGACUAAAGCUACGGAGCUAAUAUCAGUUACUGACUUCAGAGACACCACUGAAAAAUUAUUAUAUGAAAACUGUAUAGGGAUAGUAUGUUAAUGGUAUAUUUUGACUUGUAAACCUGUUAUUGAUUUACGUGUGGGAUAAAAGAAACCAUUACAGCCUACAACCCCUGAUCCCUGCUAUUACCAUAUAGUCAACAUAAUAUAGUGUAAAUAAUAAAGUCUUAUCUGUGUUCUCCGUUAUGUUUUCAGACACUUAUUCAAGAAAUGAAUCUGGAAACACACAGGGAGCUGACAGCGGCAGGAAUGGUGACCCACCU